CUAGUGUGCUUGUCUGCAUGCUUGCAUGCGCAUGCGUAUGCGCCUGUGCAUUGUGGCAGGACACUCGUCCAACCGCUCAUCAUACCUCUCGCAUAAGCCGUUCAUUUUCUUCGAUAACCUUUAAAUGGUAAGAAAAGGGGUAUGCAGUGCUGGUAUGGUAUCAUUCAGUAGAGGUCUGUGCUCGAUUAGCGAAUUCGGAUCUGCUUCUCUGUUGUUGUCCAAUACCUCUCUGGCUCUCUGGGUGUGUUUCUUUCAUGCCGUCGCCAUGUGCGGCGCUCACACGUAUGUGGAUGGCAUGUAGGAGAAGGAGGGGGGGGGCGUUUGCAUUGCACCGUCCUCCGCCCUCCUCUUUUCAGCCCUCGAGCCAUCUAAGGUAAAAAGGAAAAGGACAUGCACACACAGAGCAGACUCGCGUGUUCUCUUCGUUCCGCAUGUGAGGGCGGAGAGGAAUGUGGAGUGGAGCAUCAGCAGGCCCCGUAAACAGGCGAGUGGGGGACGAGGGUGUGGAUGCCAGCGGGCAGACGGGGGGCGCAGAAGAGGGCAACAACAUAACCGUUUUUCGCUCCUUCUGUGUUUGCGCGCGAACCCCACCACGCAUCCUCGAAAACACCCAGAUAAAGAGUGUGUGCCCUCUCUUUCUCUCUCGCGUUUGUUCUCCUCCUUUAGGCCAACCCGAGAAACCUUUGCCGGAUAACGGCACCCAUUGGGAAGAACGCACGCCUUCUGUCCCUCCACUUGCACUCCUUUCUCGCAUGCAUCCGAACAUGUAGUCUUUCUCGUCAUCGAUGGACAGGCUCUCCGCACGUUCACCUCCUUUACCGUGCUUUUUUCACUCCAAGCCUCACGCCUAUUCCUCCCUCCCGCCCUAUCCGUCCGGCAAUUUUGCACAUCAAUCGGCACUCCAUUUUUCCCCAAUUGCGUCCUCCCUUUCUGCCGUCAUCAUCUAUCGCGCACCUCGCGCACUAUGCAUGCACUCACUCCAUCUGAUUCAUCCCGCAAACUGCACGUUUCACCUCCCCUCCUCGCUUACUACGGCACCUAUUUUCCACCUCAACACCCGCCGACAUUAAAGCCGACACGUGCACAC
rnacentral:misc_RNA from 1 species